UACGUAGGGUGCGAGCGUUAAUCGGAAUUACUGGGCGUAAAGCGUGCGCAGGCGGUUUUGUAAGCCAGAUGUGAAUGCCCCGGGCUUAACCUGGGAAUGGCAUUUGGGACUGCAAGGCUUGAGUGCGGCAGAGGAGACUGGAAUUCCCGGUGUAGCAGUGAAAUGCGUAGAUAUCGGGAGGAAUACCGAUGGCGAAGGCGAGUCCCUGGACAUCUCCUGACACUGAGGCACGAAAGCUAGGGGAGCAAACAGG
rnacentral:rRNA from 1 species